UACACGCUCCUUAGAUCCACUCUCGGGACAUGGCAGCUGCAGGCUCGUCUGUCUGUAGCUGCUUGUCCAUCAACUUUACAGGUUGUGUCAUCGGGAGUGCUUGAGUCAUUGGUGUGUUAGAGAAAUACACCUCAGUCAGCUACCCUGAGAGUUG